rnacentral:rRNA from 1 species
UACAGAGGUCUCGAGCGUUAGGCGGAAUCACUGGGCUUAAAGCGUGUGUAGGCGGCGGGCUAAGUACCUUGUGAAAAUCCCACGGCUUAACUGUGGAACUGCUGGGUAUACUGGUUCGCUUGAGCGGUCUAGGGGCGAGCGGAACAAAUGGUGGAGCGGUGAAAUGCGUAGAUAUCAUUUGGAACGCCAACGGUGAAAACAGCUCGCUGGGGACCUGCUGACGCUGAGACACGAAAGCCAGGGGAGCGAACGGG